UACAGAGGGUGCGAGCGUUGUUCGGAAUUAUUGGGCGUAAAGGGCGCGUAGGCGGUGCGGUAAGUCACCUGUGAAAUCUCCUGGCUCAACUGGGAGCUUGCAGGCGAAACUGCCGUGCUGGAGUGUGGGAGAGGUGCGUGGAAUUCCUGGUGUAGCGGUGAAAUGCGUAGAUAUCAGGAGGAAUACCGAUGGCGAAGGCAGGUCUCUGGGCUGACACUGACGUCAUGCACGAAAGCGUGGGGAGCGAAACAAGGAUUGAU
rnacentral:rRNA from 1 species